rnacentral:rRNA from 1 species
AAUAGAUACCCGGGUAGUCCACGCCGUAAACGAUGAGUGCUAAGUGUUAGAGGGUUUCCGCCCUUUAGUGCUGCAGCUAACGCAUUAAGCACUCCGCCUGGGGAGUACGGCCGCAAGGCUGAAACUCAAAGGAAUUGACGGGGGCCCGCACAAGCGGUGGAGCAUGUGGUUUAAUUCGAAGCAACGCGAAGAACCUUACCAGGUCUUGACAUCAUCUGCCAACCCUAGAGAUAGGGCGUUCCCCUUCGGGGGACAGAGUGACAGGUGGUGCAUGGUUGUCGUCAGCUCGUGUCGUGAGAUGUUGGGUUAAGUCCCGCAACGAGCGCAACCCUUGAUCUUAGUUGCCAGCAUUCAGUUGGGCACUCUAAGGUGACUACCGGUGACAAACCGGAGGAAGGUGGGGAUGACGUCAAAUCAUCAUGCCCCUUAUGACCUGGGCUACACACGUGCUACAAUGGAUGGUACAAAGAGCUGCGAACCCGCGAGGGUAAGCGAAUCUCAUAAAGCCAUUCUCAGUUCGGA